rnacentral:rRNA from 1 species
AAAGGAAUUGACGGGGGCCCGCACAAGCGGUGGAUCAUGUGGUUUAAUUCGAAGCAACGCGCAAAACCUUACCUGGGUUUGACAUCCUCUGACAAACGUAGAAAUACGUCUUUUGUAGCAAUACAACAGAGAGACAGGUGCUGCAUGGCUGUCGUCAGCUCGUGUGGUGACAUGUUGGGUUAAGUCCCGCAACGAGCGCAACCCUUGCCUUUAGUUGCCAGCAUUAAGUUGGGCACUCUAGAGGGACUGCCGUGGUUAACACGGAGGAAGGUGGGGAUGACGUCAAGUCCUCAUGGCCUUUAUAUCCAGGGCGACACACGUGAUACAAUGGAUGACACAAAGGGAAGCGAACCCGCGAGGGGGAGCGAAUCUCAAAAAGUCAUUCUCAGUUCGGAUUGGAGUCUGCAACUCGACUCCAUGAAGCUGGAAUCGCUAGUAAUCGCGGAUCAGAACGCCGCGGUGAAUACGUUCCCGGGCCUUGUACACACCGCCCGU